ACGAUUUUGAAAUUUCAUGAAAGGAAUCUGUUGAAAGCUUAUGCUUAAUAAACACUAGGCGCUUCAAGAGGUAGUCAGUCAUCUACGAUCGUUACAUUUGUGCCUCAUUGUUUGACAGAAAAGAAUGAGCUGGACCAGCGAUUCUCAACUGGUGGUACGCAAGACAAAAAUAGAUGGUACGCAAAGAAACAAGGUAUUUUUAACUAUUAAAUUUAAAAAUACUGUGAAGAAAAAGAACAAUUGAACUCUAACUGAUCGAACUCUAACUGAAGAUUUCAAAAAGUAAAACAAUCGUUAACAUUUGGCUGAACUGUAAAAAAGAAUUAAUAAGGCUAUUAAAUUUUUAUUGUCUUCUUGCA